rnacentral:tRNA from 1 species
GGGCGAGUGGCGCAGUUGGUAGCGCACCUGGAUCACAACCAGGGGGUCAGGGGUUCGAAUCCCUUCUCGCCCACCA